UACGAAGGACCCAAGCGUUAUCCGGAUUCAUUGGGCGUAAAGAGCUCGUAGGCGGUUCGAUAAGUCGGGUGUGAAACCUCCAGGCUCAACCUGGAGACGCCACCCGAUACUGUCGUGACUAGAGUCCAGUAGGGGAGUGUGGAAUUCCUGGUGUAGCGGUGAAAUGCGCAGAUAUCAGGAGGAACACCAGUGGCGAAGGCGGCACUCUGGGCUGGCACUGACGCUGAGGAGCGAAAGCGUGGGGAGCGAACAGG
rnacentral:rRNA from 1 species